rfam:Gymnopus luxurians FD-317 M1 unplaced genomic scaffold GYMLTscaffold_31, whole genome shotgun sequence.
GGGCACAUGGUGUAGUUGGUUAUCACAUCCGCUUAGCAUGGUAGUGAAGUAUCCUGUUUAAUUCUAUGCGGGGGGUGCUGGGUUCAAUUCCCAGUGUGUCCA